GUAGGGAAUCUUCCACAAUGGACGAAAGUCUGAUGGAGCAACGCCGCGUGAGUGAAGAAGGUCUUCGGAUCGUAAAACUCUGUUGUUAGAGAAGAACGUGCAUGAUAGUAACUGAUCAUGUAAUGACGGUAUCUAACCAGAAAGCCACGGCUAACUACGUGCCAGCAGCCGCGGUAAUACGUAGGUGGCAAGCGUUGUCCGGAUUUAUUGGGCGUAAAGGGAACGCAGGCGGUUUUUUAAGUCUGAUGUGAAAGCCUUCGGCUUAACCGAAGAAUAGCAUUGGAAACUGAAAGACUUGAGUGCAGAAGAGGAGAGUGGAAUUCCAUGUGUAGCGGUGAAAUGCGUAGAUAUAUGGAGGAACACCAGUGGCGAAAGCGGCUCUCUGGUCUGUAACUGACGCUGAGGUUCGAAAGCGUGGGUAGCAAACAGGAUUAGAAACCCGAGUAGUCC
rnacentral:rRNA from 1 species